AUUAAACUUGUACAUUUUACUUUCCUUCUUUCAGAAUGCUAAUAAAAAACUUUUGUUUAUACUUAAAAAAACCAUAAAUCAGACAAACAAAAGAAACGAUUCCAACAUCACUUCUGUGAUGAGAAAAGAGGCAAUGGAAUUCAACAUAAGCAAAGAAAACUCUACCUGGAGGAAAGAAAUCGAUCAGCGAGGAAACAACUCGGGGCUGCUGCCAGACUGCAGGCCAUGCGAGGAGGAGCCUCCUAGAGGAUUUCCAAAGCAAACCCAUCCCUGCCAGACCAGGAAGCAGCCGUCCUACCUCCCAGAGAAACAGACCUCAGCCCUAAUGAUCACUCAAAUCCGAGUCAAUCCCUCUAUUUAAAAAAAGCUCACACAUAGUCUCCCCUCCCUUCCCCAGUCCUCUUGGCGACAGGGCGGUCACAGGACAUAUGUGUUCUUCACCAGCUGCUCCUUGUCAUCUCCGGAGCUCCAGACGGUGCGCAGGGCACGCUCCUGGUUCCUCCGUGCCACCCGGAUCAGGUAGACCAUGGAGUUAUUGCAGGAGUUCCUCUCCACGUCAAAGUACCAGCGUGGGAAGGAUGCACGGCAAGGCCCAGUGACUGCGUUGGCGGUGCAGUAUUCU
rnacentral:lncRNA from 1 species